UGAGGUUAAGCUACAAAGUGCAUGUGGUGGAUGCCUUGGCGCCGAAAGUCGAUGAAGGACGUGAUAAGCUGCGAUAAGCCUCGGGGAGACGCAAACAGUCUAUGAUCCGGGGAUUUCCGAAUGGGGAAACCCUUAAUACAUUUAGUUGAAGGCUCGAUCUUCGGAUCGGGAUAUAGGCUAUCUGAGACAACCCAGGGAAUUGAAACAUCUAAGUACCUGGUGGAAAAGAAAUCAAAAGAGAUUCCCUUAGUAGUGGCGAGCGAAACGGGAAUAGCCCAAACCGUGAGGACCUGUCCUUGCGGGGUUGUAGGGCUCGUCCGGUGUAGAACCAAGAAGUUACCAAUCGUCGGGUAGUAGAACGGUCCUGGAAAGGCCGGCCAAAGAGGGUGAAAGCCCCGUAAACGAAACCUAGACGACUUCUGACGAGUUCCUGAGUAGGAUCGGGCACGUGAAACCCGGUCUGAAUCUGGGGAGACCACUCUCCAAGGCUAAAUACUCUUCGGCGACCGAUAGUGAACUAGUACCGCGAGGGAAAGGCGAAAAGAACCCCUGAUGGGGAGUGAAAAGAACCUGAAACCGCAUGUGUACAAACAAUGGAAGACCUAUGAUGAACCUUCGGGUUCGUAACGGUCGACCAUGUGCCUAUUGAAGAAUGAUCCGGCGAGUUACUGGGUGGAGCGAGGUUAAGGGCUGCGUGAGAGCGUAGUCCGAAGCCGUAGCGAAAGCGAGUCCGAAAGGGCGACUAGUUUCAUUCAGUAGACCCGAAACCAAGUGAUCUAAGCCUGGCCAGCGUGAAGGUUCAGUAAAAUGAACUGGAGGUGCGGAGUGUUUAGCGUUGAAAAGCUACUACAUGAGCUGGGUUUAGGGGUGAAAGGCCAAUCGAACUUGGUGAUAGCUGGUUCUCCCCGAAAUAACUCUAGGGUUAGCGUCGAGGGUUAAGCGGUAGGGGUAGAGCACUGGUAAGUGUAGGGGGAGCAACCCUCUUUCCGAACCUUGUCAAACUCCGAAUACUACCGUGUAUUGCUCGGCAGUCAGUUCCAGGGGGAUAAGCUCCUGGUGCAAAAGGGAAACAACCCAGACCAUCGAUCAAGGUCCCAAAGUGCGUGCUAAGUGGUAAAUGAUGUGGAUUUGCUUAAACACCUAGGAGGUUGGCUUAGAAGCAGCCAUCCUUUAAAGAGUGCGUAACAGCUCACUAGUCUAGCGAAUCUGCGCAGAAAAUGACUCGGGGCUAAGCACGCCACCGCAAUCGUGGCUAUAUAGAUUCUCCGGAAUUUAUGUGGGGUAGGGGAGCGUUCGCAGGGCGUUGAAGGUAUACCGUAAGGAGUGCUGGAGCGCUGUGAAGUGAGAAUGCCGGAAUAAGUAGCGAGAAACAAGGUGAGAAUCCUUGUCGCCGAAAGCCUAAGGUUUCCUUGAGCAAUGUUCGUCAGCUCAGGGUUAGUCGGUCCUAAGUCGAGGCCGAAAGGCGUAGACGAUGGGCAUCAGGUUAAUAUUCCUGAACCAGAAGUAGUUCUAUACAUUAAGGAGGGACGCAGAAAGGUAAGUCUACCCGGUAAAGGUUGUCCGGGGGAAAGGUGGUAGGGGUGGUUCUCCAGGAAAAUCCGGAGGGCCGUUAACCCGAAAGCCGAGACCACGGUGGGGAAACCCGCUGGAAGUGACCCAACUCCGCUGCCAAGAAAAUCUUCGUAAUGUGAGCUGCAUCUGACCGUACCGUAAUCCGACACAGGUAGGCGGGUUGAAAAUACUAAGGCGCGCGAGUGAUAGUUGGCUAAGGAACUCGGCAAAAUAAUCCCGUAACUUCGGAAGAAGGGAUGCCUCUCCGUGAGGGGAGGCCGCAGUGAACGGGGGGUUGCGACUGUUUAUCAAAAACACAGGUCUCUGCUGAAAUCACAAGAUGAUGUAUAGGGACUGACUCCUGCCCGGUGCUGGAAGGUCAAGGGGAGCUGUUAGCUUUCGAGCGAAGCAGCGAACUUAAGCCCCAGUAAACGGCGGCGGUAACUAUAACCGUCCUAAGGUAGCGAAAUUCCUUGUCGGGUAAGUUCCGACCUGCACGAAUGGAGUAACGAUGGCCCCGCUGUCUCGGCCAACUGCUCGGCGAACUUGUGGUGCGAGUGAAGACGCUCGCUAGGCGUGGUAAGACGAAAAGACCCCGUGCACCUUUACUGCAACUUGACAUUGUGUUACGGUUUUUAAUGCGUAGGAUAGGUGGGAGCCUUUGAAGCAGCCCUUGAGGGGGUUGUGGAGGCAUCGGUGAAAUACCACCCUUUACGGACUGUGACACUAACGUUGGGCCGUAAUCCGGUCGACGGACAUUGUCAGGCGGGCAGUUUGACUGGGGCGGUCGCCUCCUAAAGAGUAACGGAGGCGUACAAAGGUUCCCUCAGGCCGUAAAGAAAUCGGCCAAAGAGCGCAAGAGCAGAAGGGAGCUUGACUGUGAGGCCUACAAGCCGAACAGGGACGAAAGUCGGUUCUAGUGAUCCGGUGGUUCCGCGUGGAAGGGCCAUCGCUCAACGGAUAAAAGGUACGCCGGGGAUAACAGGCUGAUCGGGCCCAAGAGUUCACAUCGACGGCCCGGUUUGGCACCUCGAUGUCGGCUCAUCGCAUCCUCCCGCUGGAGCAGGUGGGAAGGGUUGGGCUGUUCGCCCAUUAAAGCGGUACGUGAGCUGGGUUCAGUACGUCGUGAGACAGUACGGUCUCUAUCUACCAUGCCCGUAGGAAACUUGAGAGGAUUUGCCCAUAGUACGAGAGGACCUGGGUGAACAAACCUCCUGUGUCCCAGUUGUCCCGCCAGGGGCAGCGCUGGGUAGCGGUGUUUGGAAUGGAUAAACGCUGAAAGCAUAUAAGCGUGAAACCAGCCUCAAGAUAAGGUUUCCCUGGAAUCUUCGGAUUCCCUAAAGGCCCCCGGAAGACUACCGGGUUGAUAGGCUGGACGUGUAAGCACAGUAAUGUGUUCAGCAAACCAGUACUAAUCGGCCGUGAGGCUUGACCUCAUUCUUC
rnacentral:rRNA from 1 species